AUGAAACAGGAAACGCGAUUCAGUGUUUAAAAAACCCCAAGGUAAAAGAGGAGCAGUUUGUAGAAAAUAUUACACUAUGGAAUAAAACAAUACAUUCGGUCAAACUGCUCCAUCUCCGUGGAUCAGUAUGAACAUGUUCCCACCUUUCAGCAUAUCAUUUCCAUGACCCCUUGUUGAAACUUUGUCUGACUUCUUUUAACUAUAUCCAGAAAGUUUGCCUCAACCAUGGUAACAUGUUCCGCAGUCUGGCCUCCAUUUGAGCAAAGAAAUUUCUCCUAACAAUAUAUUAGUAAGUAUCCCUGGAUCUGGUCUGGCCAGCAAAUUUCCACUUUUAACUACCAUAUUCUUCAUAAUCCAAAAACUUCAAGCUACCUCUAGAUCCUUAUAUGGAGACCUGAAUUGUGCCACGAAUAGUCUAACAAGAUUCUUUACAAGUUUAAGAGUCAAAUCCCAGAAGAGUUCCUGAAAGGAAACCAAAGAAGGCAUUUAAGGAUUGAAGACACAGAGAACGCUGGAGAAUCAUAGAAUCCCUACAAUGUGGAAACAGGCCAUUUGGCCCAACAAGUCCACACCACCCCUCCAAAGAGCAUCCCACCC